rnacentral:rRNA from 1 species
GUGUCAGCCGCCGCGGUAAGACGUGGGGGGCCAGCGUUGCUCGGAAUUACUGGGUGUAAAGGGUUCGUAGGCGGUGUGGCAAGUCGGGAGUGAAAUCUCUGGGCUUAACCCAGAGACUGCUUCCGAAACUGCUGUGCUUGAGUGUGGGAGAGGCGCGUGGAAUUGCAGGUGUAGCGGUGAAAUGCGUAGAUAUCUGCAGGAACACCCGUGGCGAAAGCGGCGCGCUGGACCACUACUGACGCUGAGGAACGAAAGCUAGGGGAGCAAACAGGAUUAGAUACCCGUGUAGUCC